ensembl:lncRNA
GUGAUUCAGCUCCUCUCUCGCUGUUUUUCUCCGGUGUCUCUUGGCUUCUGCUUCAGCUACCAACUGCUCAGCUCUCUGUUGAUCUCACAUUUAAACUCCUUUAGUGAAAGGAUCUAAUUGGCCCCACUGGGCACUAACCAGGUGCUAGAGUUGGACUGAACUUUUGUGUCAGGCCUCCUUUUGGGUUACCGGACACCCUGCCGCUGGGCAGACCUUGGUCAGGUGCUUACUCCUGGGCUCGUCACCCAUGUCCACUUUGUUGGGUUGCAUGAUACAGAGCCUGGCCGCCUUUGCUUAAGAAACUUUGUAGAGUUCCUCCUCGUCUUCCCUCCACAGUAUUUGCGCCCCCAGAAGGAGCUAUGUUUACGGCAGGCACUUGGAGUUUAACAAACCUCUGUCUUCGGGAAGCCUCAAGGAUGAAUAAGAUACAACUCCAUUAGCUUACCAUCUAUAAGGAAAAGGAGCCAUGCUCACAAGUAAUAGUGGUACAAAGUGAUGGAUGAGGUGCUCCUGUCUGAUCUUCACAUGGCCAGUGCAGCCCUGGGGAGAUAACAUAAACAUACUCAUGCCUAGACCCUAUUCCGGGGCAAUUAAAUGAGGAUCUUUUGGGUGGUGGAGCCCAGGAGUUGGUAUUUUUUAAAUAUUCCUCAGGUCAUUCUAAGUGCAGCCUGCAUUGAGAUAUCAAUUAUCUUUAUUUUUUUCAAUGAUUACAAGCAUUUUAUGGUUCUUUUUGAGAGCAAAACUAAGAGACUCAUUUAUUUUGAUAGAUUCUAGGACUAAGACUCUUCCAAAAUAUUAAAUAUUUUUGAAAUACUACUAAUUAUCUUGAAAUGCUAAUAUAAAGGAAGAUGUAAAAUUUAAUUUAGAGUUAAAGCAAAUACUUCUAGUUCUGAAAAAACAUUUAUUUGCAUGAUUACAACAUUCAGAUGACAGCAGAAAAGGUGAAAAGCUCUAAAAAUUUCAGUCCUCUACUGCAAAGCCCAACAUUUAAAUGUACUGUAAUUGAUAUUGACAGAAAUUUCCUCAGACUCACCUUUACAGACAAUGAAAAACAAAGUUUCUCCCAAAGCGACUGCCAGAAAGUACUCAUUUGAUGUCUUGGGCACAGGGAAUGGCCUGAUGUCACAAAGCCCCCAAAUGCUGAAAGUAGGGACCCCCAUAGCUCUGUGACUCCAUCUUCUUUCUCGAAGAAACAAAGAGAUGUUUGAUUUGAAGCUAUUCCUCAGCAAAGUCCAGAAGAGAACAAUUUACAGUCCAGAAGAGAGCCACUUUUGCUCUGAAUCGUUAGCUCAUCCCCUGAUAAAGUAACGACAGACUGCUAAGAAGUCUCACCCUGUCCCUAGAUCUCAGCCUUUCAUCUGGAAAACCUUGCCUGAGAAUCAGAAAGAGAGAAGCAAGUCUUGUUCAAGCAUCUCAUCUCCUCUUUGAGAAAAAAGGUUCAAAACCGUGCUAAUUUCUCAUUUCACCAUUACCAUCAUCAGUAUCAGAAUUUGUUGUGGAGCUCUAACUGAAAGAUGUUGAAAUGAUGGGUGCUGACAGUGCUUGCAGAGAAAACACAAACAUAAAAUGAUGAAAAAUCAUAUAAGGUAUCCUCAGGCUAUGGGCCUGGAGUAUUACUGUAUUUGGAACUCAGAGUAGGCCUUGAUUGGGGUAGGGAGGAGGGGGUGGGGAGGGGCAUUCCAGGCUAGGUGGAAAGAGUCUCUGGAGACUACAGCCUGUGGGGCGCUGGGGCAGAGGGUCAGCCUUUGGCCAUUCACAGAGUCCUCAGUGAGCUCCCAGUGGGGCUUUGCAGCUGCUUUGCCUAGAAGGGCCAGGCCCUGGGUCCCUGGACUCCCUCAUAGCAGGUCAUGAUGGCUGAAACAGAAUCCAUCACUUGAGCAGGGCAAUUUCCUUUUCAAAGUCACCACUUUAUUGGGCAGGGAUUUGUUUCAUGCUUGCUGGCUCUUUAGCAGUCAUUUUCACCAAUGAUACUAUUACUCAUAAAGAAAAGAUAAAUUCACUGUCCUUCAAAUCACUUAAAAAAAGAGAAAAGAAAAAAAAAACAAAAGUGGGAAAAUGGACUGUAAUGGCCUCUUAGCAAAGUAGUAGUAAGAGACAAAUUCUUUGGAGCAAAUAGUUUCUCAUAAGAAAUCAAUUAUGACAUUGACAAGGUAGAUUUAUCAGUAAUUUCCAGCAGUUCUUAUAUAAGGAUCAGAUUGUCCCAUUAUCUAUUAAUUCUGUUUUUGGUUCUUGAGGUUGCGUUAUGAGACUCCUCUUCUCCAGAAAUAAAACUUCAAUCAGGCAUCUCUCUUCAUGAGGCCUUGUGUUGGCGGUUGUCAAGAGACACAAAAAGGCGUGAGGUAGCAUUCCUAUAUUCGGUGGUGGCACUUAUCUGGAUUUUGAAGAACGUGCUUGGGUCAGCCUGAAGAAGGAUGAGUGACAUGUGGAACAGAGUAGUCUUGCUCUGUUCAUCACAGCCAAGGUCAGCUUACAUUGGCUGAAAGCCAGCUGACUCCCCUGACCAGACAUAUAGCCAGCUCCAGGAGCCUGGUAAUUACCACGGAACCAGGCAGCAGAGGGAGCAGAUAAACUCAAAACAUUGAGUUUUCUGGGUGACAGGGAGCCAGGAGUUCUGAAGCCCUAAAAAUAUCUUUUAUCGUGGAGAACCCGUGCUUCUAUUUGAUGAUGAUAGUGGGGAGAUUCGCCCUGAGCUAGCAUCAGCUGCCAAUCUUCCUCUUUUUAUAUGUGAGCUGCCACCACAGCAUGGCCACUAACAGACGUGUGGUGUGGGUCCACGCCCAGGAACCGAACACAGGCUGCUAAAGUGGAGCACACUGAAGUUAACCACUAGGCCAAGGGGGCUGGCCUGAGGUUCAAUAAUUUUUAAUAAGUGCAAAAUAUGUACCAGCUCACACACACUCCCUGGUCUCAUGGAAUUUACGGCGUAGAUGAGAAGAUCAACAUUAAAGUCUAGCUGAUGAUACUGAUGAAUGCAUAACUAUACACAGAGUAGUGCUCUGAAGAAAGGAAUGCUGCACUACAAAAGGACACGAUGAAAGAGCCCGACCUUGACUGGGGAUCAGGGAAAGCUUCUUCGAGGAAGCAAUCCUUGAGCUGAGAACCGAUUUAAAGAAGACGGAAGUGACCAUAUGCCAGUUCAGAGUGGGACUUCAAGAAGCAUGGUUUCCAGGUUGUCUUCAAGGAGUACACCAUUGACUCUGAAAUUAGCUGUUGUGUGGACAGAUACGUUACAAGUCUCUAAAUUACCAAGCUGCAGGAUCUUGUCAUUCCAAUGCUUUAAUGGACUCUAACACCAUUUCAGCCCUCCCUUCUGCCCUGAGACCUUGUCACCUGGGCAAUUUCAGGUUUCUUUUCCUUCCAGAUGUCAGGGCCUCUCCUCCUCCUCCUUGCUUUUCUUUAGCAUCAACAUUUCCAACUACUAUUUUCUAGUUAUCUUUCUUUUUGUUUCUGUGAUACAUCCAAACCUUGGAUUUUCCCUAAAGGGAAAAGUGGGUCUUCUGCCUAGGAGAAGUGGAUGGCUUCCCAAGUUGUGCUCAAGGGCUCUUUCCUCAGUUUUCAGAUUUUUUGGGAACUGAAAAAUCUGGUUGCUGGAUUGUGUGUAUGUG